ACUUCUGUUGAAAUUUCACAAGGUUGACCUCGGAUCAGGUAGGAAUACCCGCUGAACUUAA
rnacentral:rRNA from 1 species